GUGGGUAUAGCUUAACCGGUUAGAGCCGCGGCCUUUUAAGCCGUUAGUCCGGGUUCAACUCCCGGUACCCGUA
rnacentral:tRNA from 1 species